UGUGAAUUUUCGUGUCAAGUUUCGGGACGAAACUUCUUUUAAGAGGGGUAGAUUGUAAUCCCCCGUAAUUUUAUAAAUCUUAUUAAUACAUUUUAACGUAUAGUUAAUUAUAUUUAAAUAGAAUUUACGAAUUUUAGAAAUAAAAAUGUAAUUAACGAAUAUUUAUUUUUAUACGUUUUAAAUAUUUCAACGAUUUAUGAAAUUAAAAUAAUUUUAGAAUUUCAUGUUGAAAAUAAAUCGAAUUACAAAACCGAUUGAAUUUAGAGAACGUUCCUAAUCGAUUUUGGAAUGAAAUCCUAAAACUAAGUUCCUAAUUCUAGCCCACUUUGGUAAAGCCCAUUGUGAUAAACCUAAACCCCCAUAAUCUCAUCUCACGUGAAACCAAAGAAACAACAAAAGAAAAAUCUCUCUCCUUCAUCCUUCACCCUUCACGUGAACCCUCAAACCCUCAAACCUUGCAGCCGCCAGCCACCAGCCACCGCACACCGCCUGCACCACCCUCGCCGUCGGCGUCUCCUCCUUCGUCCGCAACCACCACCCACCUACGAAACUGACCGCGACAGCCACCGUCCUGUGUCGUCGCCGACCAACCAGCACCAACUUCGCAAUCCUUCCACACGCAAACAGUCCUCCCUUUGGCUUGCUCCUUGCUCACGGCACCACCACCAACGACCCGAGCAACCCUCGCUGCCACCAUCGACAGCCGCCACCGCCGCUGCCGCGCCAUCUCCGACCGCCGUCCAACCACUCUUCAUUCUUUCUUUUGGUGGAGAAUUCUCCGUAGGCGACUUUUGAAUUCUUAAAGUGGUCUCGCAUUUUGUUUACACAAGUCUCUAAGGAUCAAUAAGCGUUGCCCAUCUACAGGUUUGAAGAUGAUGCAUCAUUGGGAUCGGGAUUAGAGAGCUUGUAGUUCAUUUGAUUUUCUAAGUUGGAUUUGGUUUGUUUAAGUGGACUCUAAAACUUAUUGAAUUAGUAACAUUAACUUUGUUUUU